UGGGCAACCUGCCCCUCUCUCUGGGAUAACCCCGGGAAACCGGAGCUAAUACCGGAUACUCCGGCUGGAUCGCAUGGUCCGGCCGGGAAAGGUCCGCCGGAGAGGGAUGGGCCCGCGGCCUAUCAGCUUGUUGGUGGGUCAUGGCUCACCAAGGCGACGACGGGUAGCUGGUCUGAGAGGACGACCAGCCACACUGGAACUGAGAUACGGUCCAGACUCCGUAGGGAGCA
rnacentral:rRNA from 1 species